UACGUAGGGGGCAAGCGUUGUCCGGAAUCAUUGGGCGUAAAGCGCGCGUAGGCGGCCCGGUAAGUCCGCUGUAAAAGUCCAGGGCUCAACCCUGGAAAGCCGGUGGAUACUGUCGGGCUAGAGUCCGGAAGAGGCGAGUGGAAUUCCUGGUGUAGCGGUGGAAUGCGCAGAUAUCUGGAGGAACACCGGUGGCGAAGGCGACGUCCUGGACCGGCAUUGACGCUGAGGCGCGAAAGCCAGGGGAGCAAAGCGGG
rnacentral:rRNA from 1 species